GAUGAAGAACGCAGCGAAAUGCGAUACGUAAUGUGAAUUGCAGAAUUCAGUGAAUCAUCGUAUCUUUGAACGCAUAUUGCGCUCUCUGGUAUUCCGGAGAGCAUGCUUGUUUGAGUAUCAGUAAACACCUCAACUCCCUUUUCUUUUUUGAAAUUGGAGCUGGACUUGAGUGAUCCCAACGCUUUCUUCCAAGAAAGUGGCGGGUUGCUUGAAAUGCAGGUGCAGCUGAACUUUUCUCUGAGCUAUAAGCAUAUCUAUUUAGUCUGCCUAAAAAACAGAUUAUUACCUUUGCUGCAGCUAACAUAAAGGAGACUAGUUCUUGUGCUGACUGAUGCAGGAUUCACAGAGACAGCUUCGGCUGACUUUGUAAACUCGAUCUCAAAUCAAGUAAGACUACCCGCUGAACUUAAGCAUAUCAAUAAGCGGAGGA
rnacentral:misc_RNA from 1 species